rnacentral:rRNA from 1 species
CGUGUAGGCGGCCAGGCAGGUCCGUUGUGAAAACUGGAGGCUCAACCUCCAGACGUCGAUGGAAACCGCUUGGCUAGAGUCCGGAAGAGGAGAGUGGAAUUCCUGGUGUAGCGGUGAAAUGCGCAGAUAUCAGGAAGAACACCGAUGGCGAAGGCAGCUCUCUGGGACGGUACUGACGCUGAGACGCGAAAGCGUGGGAGCGAACA